rnacentral:lncRNA from 1 species
UGUUGGUACAAUGUUUUAAUGAUUGAGAUUGUAAAUUCACUAAUAACUCUUUUGAAUUUUUCAGCAUCCACAUCUGAUUAACACCACUUCUUGAAUAUGUCGUUUCGAAAUAUUCUGAAGUCCUUCUUUGACUGCAGUGAGUAUGGCAGUAAGAACUUUAGAAAGGGGUUUAGUGGAACACUUGGAAGAACCUGCAAUAUACUUUUCCGUAUAAGGAUUCUUGUGAAGCGUAGGAAUCCAAUAUAAGGAUGGAAGAUCCUGGUCUUCAUCCUUUGGA